CAUCAGUAUAAUUAUACCCUACAACUUCAAGCCCCAACUGAUCAUAGUAACUUCCGAGUCACACAAGUAGCUCCAUUCAGACGGCUUCUCAGGGCCCCUCAAAAUCAUCACCUCCUCCCUGCUUAACAAACAGUCCAAGUUUUGUAAUGGCAAACAUACUCCCUGCAUGACCAUUGACCCCUGUAUUCCCUGCAUGAACCCCCACCACUAGUGAAUGCCUUCUCAUCCCUAUUUCAAUCACUCUCUCGAAUGGUUCCUAGUAGAUACAAAAUGAUUUUUUCUCCAGUGGGAAAAUAGAACACGGGGAGCCACUCAGUUUGCUUCCAACACUCCUUUCCAGCCACUCACUGGAGCUACCUUGGCAAGUACUCUAGGAGUAUGGGAAAAUGAAAAGAACAAACUCUUACACCAAACUCUGGAGUUGGGCAACAUGGCUUCUCCCCUUUCUAGGUCCCGUGGCAGCCAUCUUGCUAUUACUCACCUUCAGGCACUGUAUUUUUAACCUCCUUGUUAAAUUUGUUCCCUCUAGAAUCGAGGCCGUCAAGCUACAGAUGGUCUUACAAGUAGAACACCAAAUGCGCUCAACUAACAACUUCUACCAUGGUCCCCUGGACUGACCCGCUGGCCCUUUCACUGGCCUAAAGAGUUCCCCUCUGGAGGACACUACAACUGCAGGGCCCCUUCUUCACCCCAUCCAGUGGAAGUAGCUAGAGUGAUCAUAUGAAGUGUGCGUAUGGUACCUAUUGGAGCUAUCUUGAGCCCAUAUAAAGAGUAAGCUUUAGAAUGACGGCGACUCACAGAGAAAGCUAAGAAUCAUCAGAAAAUGAAAAUCGAUGUCUCUGAAGUCUCUCUUCAGCCAGGAGGCUUUUCCUAUUGAAGCACUCUGGGGCACAUUGAUUUCUCCUAUGUUUUAACUUCAAACAUGGCAUCAUCUGAAACCUAUAUUUUGGAUACGGCACUGUGUGCUAAUGGGCUGCCCACUCCUUCCUGAAACUACAAACUUGGAGGUCAUGUGUUGAGAUGGCAAGAACAAGAUGGAGGCAACUUGGAUCCUAGAGGAACAAGAUUGAGGAGAAUGUGCCCCUUUCCUCCUACCAGCCCAUGUUUAAUUGGGCAUAAAAAAAGAAAUAUGGAUGGAGACCACAUGAAAAUUGAAGGCAAGAGGAUGUAUGGUGUCUUCAAGAAUACCAAAGAAAUCGGUUUUGAUGUUCAACGUUUCAUGCAAGUUCAAAAAACUUGAUUCUGGUAGCAAAAUUAUAGCAGGAAGAGGAAGCAGGACACCAGAGGCUUUUCUUUUCAUGGUGAGUGUCAAACUGAAGCAUAGCCAUCCGUACUUUUUAAUGGAAUGAACAAGCUGUGCUCUCUAAAAACCAGAAUAACUAUUAAUAUCAUCAUCAGCUAUGGAAAUACAGUGGCAGAAUGUGUUAUGUCCCUAGCAACAAUCCUUUUUCUCCUCAGAACUCACCUUGCUUACAUCAUUUCUCACCUUAAGAAAUCAAUUAAUUCGAAGACUUCCUCCACCUAUCCCACUCUAAGACUUAAGAGUCUAAGAGAUAAACAAUACAAUUUGUUCUCUCAUUUUCUCUACAGAGACCUCCUAUUCAGAAUUGGGUUUGGGCUCUGCCUUGCCUCAGGAAGUUAAUAAAAUUCACUUUUCAUGUAAUCUGA